rnacentral:misc_RNA from 1 species
UGAAAAGCUUCUCAAGUGAAGGCGAUCUGAUUCAAGCUCAGCAUUGUCUAAACUGCAUGCACUUCUUGCUAACCACUUGUCAUGUAUCCGCUGGAGGUCUCCAUUCUCUGAUAGUGUUAAAAUUGCAGUUGACAAGUCGACUGCCAACGGAGAGUCCCGAGGAAAUGCAAAACCCCACCCACUUUUGGUGAACUCUUGACCUACAAUCCUGAAUUUGCACUGGUUUGACAGGAAAAGUUCAACGUAUGGUCUUUCAUCCACCACUGCAGCUACACCCCCGUUUGCAGGACCACGUUGAAGUGCUG